UCCUUGGUGGUCCAGUGGCUAAGACUCUGCACUUCCAAUCCAGAGGGCACAGGUUUGAUCCCUGGCCAGGGAA
rnacentral:tRNA from 1 species